CCUCUCUCAAGGGUCACACCUGGAGAGUUUCCAGUACUCUACCAGUCUCGACUAUGGGAGAGACAGUCAAGCAGAGGCCUGUCCAUUCCAUUCCUAGCUUGGGCAGGGGCUAAUGAAUGGAAGGCAGUCUGCUACAAGU
rnacentral:snoRNA from 1 species